rnacentral:rRNA from 1 species
UACGUAGGGGGCAAGCGUUGUCCGGAAUUAUUGGGCGUAAAGGGCGCGUAGGCGGCUUUGCAAGUGACGGGUGAAAGCCCUCGGCUUAACCGAGGAACUGCCUGUCAGACUGUGAGGCUUGAGACCGGGAGAGGUGAGUGGAAUUCCCAGUGUAGCGGUGAAAUGCGUAGAUAUUGGGAGGAACACCAGUGGCGAAGGCGGCUCACUGGACCGGUUCUGACGCUGAGGCGCGAAAGCGUGGGGAGCAAACGGG